UUCUUUUUAAUUUGAAAUGAACCCAAAAAAACUAUUUCCAAAUUGUCUUUUCUUGUUUUGGUAACUAAAUUUAGAGGAAACCAAACCCACGGCAAAUGAUGACAACAGCAGCAGUAACAACAUCAACUUCUCGGCCAGUACAGCACAAAUAGACAAACUUCAUGCGGAGCAACUAAACAAAGAACUUCAACUCCAACAACUUCGCCUCAACAAAGACACUAAAGGAGAAAACCCAAAACAGAAUGGGGAACAAAACUUCACUGCAAGACACUUCAAAGAUUGGCCAAAGAGACAAAACAAAGUAAAUCUUUUAGGCGGCAGACAGCAUCAACCACAGACGCAGACCCACUUAAAUAACUUUGGCAAAAUAUUUGUAUGCCAAGCACGGCAACAACCUUAGACAUCGUUACAUUCAGUACCCUUUUUCGGAUGAGACUUCUCUACAACCAGCACCACCAUCACCCAAGUAGAGAGGGCAACACUAAAAACAAAAAGUUUGCAUUGUUACAGCUGUAGCUGUGGCUGAAGUUGACGACAACAAAAAGAGUUCCUUUAACUGCCUGUUUACCUCUUUCACGCCUUAGCCCAUGAUUUCAUUGGAACUAUUGAAAAGAUCUUCCGAGUAUUGAUGUGAACCGUUUUAAGUCGCGCCAAAGGUCAACAAUGCAGCCAAGAAACCAAAAAUUCCCCCGCAAAAAAAAGAACCCAGAUGAAAAGAACCUAAAUUUAUUUUCUAUUUGAACAAUAAUGUUUAAAGACUUUGGCCUUUCAUUGUUGGCCCAUGCCUUAAAGCCCAUUGGCAAAGCAGGCAAAACGGAAACGUGAGAAUUUAAUUUUUAUUCUUCAUGUCUUCAACACUCAACAUUUAAGCGAACAUAUAAAGGAAGAGCUUUUGGUUAACCCUUUCAAUGAGAGGAAUUCAUUGGUUUAAGAUUAAAGGAGUAUGCGCUAAAGCAGUAUAGCUCUAACCUUUUUCGAGAAGUGAUGAAAGAAAAUAAAAAGGUAUUUAAACACGAAUGGGACAUUCCACUCCACUA